rnacentral:rRNA from 1 species
GAUGAACGCUAGCGGGAGGCUUAACACAUGCAAGGUCGAGGGGGCAGCAUAGGGUAGCAAUACUCUGGUGGCGACCGGCAAACGGGUGAGUAACGCGUAUGUAACCUACCCUGUACAGGGGGAUAACCCGGAGAAAUUCGGACUAAUAUCCCAUAACAAUAUCCGGGGGCAUCUUUGGAUAUUUAAAGUUCCGGCGGUACGGGAUGGGCAUGCGUAACAUUAGCUAGUUGGUAAGGUAACGGCUUACCAAGGCUUUGAUGUUUAGGGGUCCUGAGAGGGUGGUCCCCCACACUGGUACUGAGACACGGACCAGACUCCUACGGGAGGCAGCAGUGAGGAAUAUUGGUCAAUGGGCGCAAGCCUGAACCAGCCAUCCCGCGUGCAGGAAGACGGCGCUAUGCGUUGUAAACUGCUUUUCCAGGGAGAGAAACUUGCGCACGUGUUGCGCAAUUGACGGUACCCUGGGAAUAAGCAUCGGCUAACUCCGUG